GUCGUAACAGGUUUCCGUAGGUGAACCUGCGGAAGGAUCAUUAUUGAAAUAAACCUGAUGGGUUGUUGCUGGCUCUCUAGGGAGCAUGUGCACGCCUUGUCAUCUUUAUAUCUCCACCUGUGCACCUUUUGUAGACCUUUCGGGGUCUAUGUUGCUUCAUUUUUCCACAAUGUAUGUUAAUAGAAUGUUGUGCCCUGUAUUAAUAUAUACAACUUUCAGCAACGGAUCUCUUGGCUCUCGCAUCGAUGAAGAACGCAGCGAAAUGCGAUAAGUAAUGUGAAUUGCAGAAUUCAGUGAAUCAUCGAAUCUUUGAACGCACCUUGCGCUCCUUGGUAUUCCGAGGAGCAUGCCUGUUUGAGUGUCAUUAAUAUACAUAUAUCAAGCCUUCUCUUGUAGAAGGGUUUGGAUGUGGGGGUUUGCUGGCCUCUUAAUCUUAAGAGUUCAGCUCUCCUGAAAUGCAUUAGCAGAACAACCUUAUGUUCAUUGGUGUGAUAACUAUCUACGCUAUUGAAUGUUGAGGGGGAAGUUCAGCUUUCUAACGGUCCUUGGACAACUCAUCAUUAAUGUGACCUCAAAUCAGGUAGGACUACCCGCUGAACUUAAGCAUAUCAAUAAGCGGAGGAAAAGAAACUAACAAGGAUUCCCCUAGUAACUGCGAGUGAAGCGGGAAAAGCU
rnacentral:rRNA from 1 species